ACAACACGAAACUGUACAUGGCCCCACCAAAGACAAUCAGCAUUUUAAUGAUCAUCCUCGAAAUCGCUCGUGAUCUUUCCACAGUUAAUUACUAUCUUAUAUCCGCUGCUUACUUCCAUGGUAUUCUCCGUGCGCUCAAUAUAGUUAAAGGUGCGAAUUAGGCAGGGCGCACACCAAGGAAACUGAAAACUGAAACACAACCGCGAUUUCCGAGAAGUGUUAUGAGCCGGAGUUGAAGACAUGUUCGUAUACGCGGCAGCGCAAAUUGAGAAAUAAAGAACUACUUCCAGAAACAUCACUGAACCUGACAAGAGUUUCCUACAAUGCCAAAGUAAAUAGCCAUGGUAGCCCAUUGCUUUCUGGACCUCAUGAUGGCAGAGUCAAUAAAAUUUACAUCAGAAUGAGUUGAUGGUUUAAAUUGGCUUAAAAUGGAGCAUAUGUGGGGAAAAAGAGAGUAUACAAAUGCCUGUAUGGAAAGAUCAACAGGAUGAAGACACUUGAUAUGUAGAAGAGAAAGUAAUAUUAAUUGUCUUAGAGGAAUGGACUGUGAUCAUGACUAAGAUAAGGUAUA